ensembl:lncRNA
AAGUAGUCUUCACCCUGUAUGUUUAAUAUUUUAUGUAUUCUCAUAGACAUGUAUUCCCUAGUCAACAUCUUCUGUCUUUUCCUUAUCUGUGUUCAGGGACAGUGAUGAGUAGAAACUGUGUACAACCUUGCAUAUAGUUGAGGAGAGAUCUUCCUAAGAAAAUAGGUAUCCAUGAAUUAAUUGCACUAUGUACACUAAAAGCUUCUGCUUCAAUUAUAUUCUGUUCAUUAUUUAGAAACCUGCCUAACUGAUGUAACCCAGUGUAAGGAAUUUACUUUGUUAGAUUAGGCCCGAAUUUGCUUUAGACUGUUCAUGGAUGCCACGGAUGGGCAAAGACAGCAUGGCCUUGUCAUGGACGUAAUUAUGGCCACAACCGAAGGAGCUGGGCCACAACCUAUCUUAUCUAUGACGCAGCUUCAGAUGGCUCCAAGGUGAAGUUGCCUGUGCCUCUGCUGGUUCUUUCAUUCAGGCAGGACAGAGACAAGGGCUAGCUCAGAUCAGGAGGCCUUUUAACUCUGACCUAGAACUAUGGUUGCCAUGACAGUGUAGAGUUCAUUUCAUGCUGGUUGUAUUUUCAUGCUGGUGUCAUGACUUGUUUUCUUGUCUGUAUCUUUAGUAUUUCCAGAACUGACAAGGAGAUGUAUAAAGAGGUGAAAGCAAUAAUGUGACUUCAGAAGAACUGUCAUGACACUACUACAUGUUAUUGUACAGUGAGUACAUUACUGUGGUGGACUUUUGGUAUAGGAAACAAGUGGCAUGUUGGCAGUGAGUCGUUUAAUCUAUAUUGACUUCUGAUAUUGAAAACACAAUACAUUGUCUUUGAACUAGAAAUGUAAGAUAUUUUUUGUUGGGAGAGUUAAUGUUGUCUUCAUUUACAAUUUGAAAUGAAAAAUGCUAAUUUGUACAAAAUAUUUAAUGUAUCAAAGGGUACAUAUAUGGUGUGAAUUAAUUUCAAACAGGAUUGUUGUGACUAAAUGUAGUUUAUUUCAAAGUGCCAGAACUGUGCCUCUAGUGUCUGAUGUUUUUGUACGGCUAAAUGAGUUUGUAUCACUGUGGUUCACUUUUGAUGGAGGCACUAGACUUGACAUUGGAAGUAAGUACCAAGCAUACAGAGAUCCAAUAACUGUUGCUAAUGUUUAAAUUAUGUUUAAAUAAAAAUAUUCUUGUUAUUAUUGUAACAAUACUUUUUAAAAUACAAGUUUUUGCAUCGGGCUCAGCCCGAACGGGCGACGUCGGGCCGCCCUCCCGUGGGCUCACCACCCACAGGAGGGACCAUAAGGGGCCGGUGCGAAGAGGAUCGGGCGGCAGUCGAAGGCAGGGGCCUAGACAACCCGAUCUCUGGACACGGAAACUAGCUCUAGGGACGUGGAAUGUCACCUCGCUGGCGGGAAGGAGCCUGAGUUAGUGCGUGAGGUUGAGAGGUUCCGAUUAGAGGUAGUCGGGAUCACCUCUACGCACGGCUUGGGCUCUGGAACCACACUCCUUGAGAGAGGAUGGACUCUUCACCACUCUGGCGUUGCCCAUGGUGAGAGGCGGCGG